UACAGAGGUCUCAAGCGUUGUUCGGAUUCAUUGGGCGUAAAGGGUGCGUAGGCGGCGCGGUAAGUUGGGUGUGAAAUCUCGGGGCUUAACUCCGAAACUGCAUUCGAUACUGCCGUGCUUGAGGACUGGAGAGGAGACUGGAAUUUACGGUGUAGCGGUGAAAUGCGUAGAUAUCGGAAGGGAGACCAGUGGGGGAGGCGGGGCUCUGGACAGUUCCUGACGCUGAGGCACGAAGGUCAGGGGAGCAAACGGG
rnacentral:rRNA from 1 species